AUUGAACGCUGGCGGCAGGCUUAACACAUGCAAGUCGAGCGGGGUGAUGGUGCUUGCACUAUCACUUAGCGGCGGACGGGUGAGUAAUGCUUAGGAAUCUGCCUAUUAGUGGGGGACAACAUCUCGAAAGGGAUGCUAACACCGCAUACGUCCUACGGGAGAAAGCAGGGGAUCACUUGUGACCUUGCGCUAAUAGAUGAGCCUAAGUCGGAUUAGCUAGUUGGAGGGGUAAAGGCCUACCAAGGCGACGAUCUGUAGCGGGUCUGAGAGGAUGAGCCGCCACACUGGGACUGAGACACGGCCCAGACUCCUACGGGAGGCAGCAGUGGGGAAUAUUGGACAAUGGGGGGAACCCUGAUCCAGCCAUGCCGCGUGUGUGAAGAAGGCCUUAUGGUUGUAAAGCACUUUAAGCGAGGAGGAGGCUCUUUUGGUUAAUACCCAAGAUGAGUGGACGUUACUCGCAGAAUAAGCACCGGCUAACUCUGUGCCAGCCGCCGCCGUAA
rnacentral:rRNA from 1 species